rnacentral:tRNA from 1 species
UGUAAAAUAAGCUAAUUAUCAA